rnacentral:rRNA from 1 species
CCUGAGAAACCCAAAAGAUCGAAUGGGGAGAUUCAACGUCAGCGCAUUUGGUAUAUGUGCAAGUUAUGAUGUUGGCACGUGCUUGUAUCAUUUAAUUGCCGGAUGUCGUCGGCGUGCACCUUCUCCCCUAGUAGGACGUCGCGACCCGUUGGGUGUCGGUUUACGGCCCGAACUUUGAUGUAUUAAAGACCAUCGGUAUUAAAGACCAUCGGUGUUUUCUGACCGGCUGCCCGGCGGGGUAUUGAGCCGCAUUAUUUUUGCGUCAUUGCGUCAAACCCGCCGCAAGCGAGGCCAGCCCGGUAGUGCGGACCUAGUGCCGUCGCUGGGGCGGUGUUCUUUGACUGGCUCAUUAUGAUAAUAUAAUUACCGGUCGGCGACGCUACUGCUUUGGGUACUUUCAGGACCCGUCUUGAAACACGGACCAAGGAGUCUAACAUGUGCGCGAGUCAUUGGGAUUUAAAACCUAAAGGCGCAAUGAAAGUAAAGGUCGUC